AUACUCCGGUUUCUCUUCAGCUCGCAUAAAUCUUUCGCCUUUUACUAAAGAUUUCCGUGGAGAGAAACAAUUCUGAGUCUUUAAUUUUUUGGGGCCUUGCUCUGGCCAAGGCU
rnacentral:snRNA from 1 species